CGGGAACCUUGUUUUUACAUAUCUAGUCCCGUCUUCGAUGCUUGUACCGGGAUAUUGCCUCCUUUUUAUUUUUGAUAUGGGUGUUACUCCCCAUCCCGUCAGCUUUUGGAUGAUGACUUCAUCGUCCAGGUAAACAGAAUCCCUUCUAUUGUGCACUGGAAGAUCGCUGGACUUGAAGCAACUCUAAAUGGUGGCCUGUUUGUCCAAAGCCCAGGCUGGACCCCCCACCCCUUCAACCUUUGCAGCAAUGCUGGCAGCACUAUUUCCCAAAGACAACCUCUGGAUAUGACGCUGAGCACGUGCACUCAACUUCUUCUUUGG
ensembl:lncRNA